rnacentral:rRNA from 1 species
GAUGAACGCUAGCGGCAGGCCUAAUACAUGCAAGUCGGACGGGAUCCAUCGGAGAGCUUGCUCGAAGAUGGUGAGAGUGGCGCACGGGUGCGUAACGCGUGAGCAACCUACCUCUAUCAGGGGGAUAGCCUCUCGAAAGAGAGAUUAACACCGCCUAACAUCAACAGUUCGCAUGUCCGGUUGAUUAAAUAUUUACAGGAUAGGGAUGGGCUCGCGUGAGAUUAGCUAGUUGGUAGGGGAACGGCCUACCAAGGCGACGAUGUCUAGGGGCUCUGAGAGGAGGAUCCCCCACACUGGUACUGAGACACGGACCAGACUCCUACGGGAGGCAGCAGUAAGGAAUAUUGGUCAAUGGGCGGAAGCCUGAACCAGCCAUGCCGCGUGCAGGACGACUGCCCUAGGGGUUGUAAACUGCUUUUGUCCAGGAAUAAACCUCUUUACGUGUAGAGAGCUGAAUGUACUGGAAGAAUAAGGAUCGGCUAACUCCGUGCCAGCAGCCGCGGUAAGAC